CCUACGGGUGGCAGCAGUGAGGAAUAUUGGUCAAUGGACGAGAGUCUGAACCAGCCAAGUAGCGUGAAGGAUGACUGCACUAUGGGUUGUAAACCUCUUUUAUAAGGGAAUAAAACGAGGCACGUGUGCCUUUUUGCAUGUACCUUAAGAAUAAGGAUCGGCUAACUCCGUGCCAGCAGCCGCGGUAAUCCGGAGGAUCCGAGCGUUAUCCGGAUUUAUUGGGUUUAAAGGGUGCGUAGGCGGCCUUUUAAGUCAGCGGUGAAAGGCUGGGGCUCAACCAUAGAAGUGCCGUUGAAACUGGGAGGCUUGAGUAUGUGUGAGGCAUGCGGAAUGCGUGGUGUAGCGGUGAAAUGCAUAGAUAUCGCGCAGAACCCCGAUUGCGAAGGCAGCCUGCCAGGCCAUGACUGACGCUGAUGCACGAAAGCGUGGGGAUCGAACAGGAUUAGAUACCCCAGUAGUC
rnacentral:rRNA from 1 species